AUCAACUUUCGAUUGGUAGGAUAGAGGCCUACCAUGGUGGUAACGGGUAACGGGGUGUUAGGGCACGACACCGGAGAGGGAGCCUGAGAAACGGCUACCACAUCCAAGGAUGGCAGCAGGCGCGCAAAUUACCCAAUCCCGACACGGGGAGGUAGUGACAAUAAAUAACAAUACGGGGUUCUUUAGGAUCUCGUAAUUGGAAUGAGUACAAUUUAAAUCUCUUAACGAGGAACAAUUGGAGGGCAAGUCUGGUGCCAGCAGCCGCGGUAAUUCCAGCUCCAAUAGCGUAUAUUAAAGUUGUUGCAGUUAAAAAGCUCGUAGUUGAAUUUCGGGGUUAGUAGGUUGGUCAUGCCUCUGGUAUGUACUGGUCUCACUGAUUCCUCCUUCCUGAUGAACCGUAAUGCCAUUAAUUUGGUGUUGCGGGGAAUUUGGACUGUUACUUUGAAAAAAUUAGAGUGUUUAAAGCAAGCUAACGCUUGAAUACAUUAGCAUGGAAUAAUGAAAUAGGACGUUCGAUCCUAUUUUGUUGGUUUCUAGGAUUGACGUAAUGAUUAAUAGGGAUAGUUGGGGGCAUUAGUAUUCAAUUGUCAGAGGUGAAAUUCUUGGAUUUAUUGAAGACUAACUACUGCGAAAGCAUUUGCCAAGGAUGUUUUCAUUAAUCAAGAACGAAAGUUAGGGGAUCGAAGACGAUCAGAUACCGUCGUAGUCUUAACCAUAAACUAUGCCGACUAGGGAUCGGAUGAUGUUAAUUUUUUAAUGACUCAUUCGGCGCCUUACGGGAAACCAAAGUGUUUGGGUUC
rnacentral:rRNA from 1 species